rnacentral:misc_RNA from 1 species
AAGUCGUAACAAGGUUUCCGUAGGUGAACCUGCGGAAGGAUCAUUAACACGUAUCCAACGUAAAAAACCCCCCUGUGAACAUUCAAACCUGCUCUCGUAGCCCAGUGCGACCCAGCAAUCCCGGUAAAUCAUUGUCGAACAGCUUUUGAUUCGGGACUUCUGACAAAUGAGAAGUUACAGUUACGAUAUGGAUAUCUUGGUUCUC